GAUGAACGCUGGCGGCGUGCCUAAUACAUGCAAGUCGAGCGAACAGACGAGGAGCUUGCUCCUCUGACGUUAGCGGCGGACGGGUGAGUAACACGUGGAUAACCUACCUAUAAUACUGGGAUAACUUCGGGAAACCGGAGCUAAUACCGGAUAAUAUAUUGAACCGCAUGGUUCAAUAGUGAAAGACGGCUUUGCUGUCACUUAUAGAUGGAUCCGCGCCGCAUUAGCUAGUUGGUAAGAUAACGGCUUACCAAGGCAACGAUGCGUAGCCGACCUGAGAGGGGGAUCGGCCACACUGGAACGGGGACACGGUCCAGACGCCUACGGGAGGCAGCAGUAGGGAAUCUUCCGCAAUGGGCGAAAGCCUGACGGAGCGACGCCGCGUGAGUGAUGAAGGUCUUCGGAUCGUAAAACUCUGUUAUUAGGGAAGAACAAAUGUGUAAGUAACUAUGCACGUCUUGACGGUACCUAAUCAGAAAGCCACGGCUAACUACGUG
rnacentral:rRNA from 1 species